rnacentral:rRNA from 1 species
AACUCUUAGUGGUGGAUCACUUGGCUUGCGCAUCAGUGAAGAAUGCAGCUAGCUGCGAGAAUUAAUGUAAAUUGCUAGAGUAUCUGUAUAUGGCCAGCAAAAUUUGAUAUUUCCACAUACUCUCAAUUCUUUACUUCUCAACAAUCUAAAAUGUAAGUGUAA